rnacentral:rRNA from 1 species
UGAUUCUGGCUCAGGAUGAACGCUGGCGGCAUGCCUAAUACAUGCAAGUCGAACGGAGUGAAGCCUUCGGGUUUCAUUCAGUGGCGAACGGGUGAGUAAUACGCAGGGAACCUGGCCAUGGCAGGGGGAUACACUCUGGAAACGGAGCAUAAGACCCCAUAGGCAGUAAGGCGGCAUCGCCUUACUGUUAAAGAAAGCUGAAAGGCUUUGGCGAUGGAUGGACCUGCGGUGCAUUAGCUUGUUGGUGAGGCAACGGCUUACCAAGGCGAUGAUGCAUAGCCGGCCUGAGAGGGCGGACGGCCACACUGGGACUGAGACACGGCCCAGACUCCUGCGGGAGGCAGCAGUAGGGAAUUUUCGUCAAUGGGCGCAAGCCUGAACGAGCAAUGCCGCGUGAGUGAGGAAGGUCUUCGGACUGUAAAGCUCUGUUGCCGGGGAAAAAGGGGAAAUGCAGGAAAUGGCAUUUCAUGGAUGGUACCCGGCCAGAAAGCCACGGCUAACUACGUGCCAGCAGCCGCGGUAAUACGUAGGUGGCGAGCGUUAUCCGGAAUGAUUGGGCGUAAAGGGUGCGCAGGCGGUCUGUUAAGUCUGAAGGCAAAGGGAUGAGCUCAACUCAUUUAAUGAUUCAGAAACUGGCAGACUUGAGGACAGGAGAGGGCGGUGGAACUCCAUGUGUAGCGGUAAAAUGCGCAGAGAUAUGGAAGAACACCAGUGGCGAAGGCGGCCGCCUGGCCUGUGACUGACGCUGAGGCACGAAAGCGUGGGGAGCAAAUAGGAUUAGAUACCCUAGUAGUCCACGCCGUAAACGAUGAGGAGCAGGUGUUGGGAGUGAAAUCUCAGUGCCGAAGCCAACGCAGUGACUCCUCCGCCUGGGGAGUAUGCACGCAAGUGUGAAACUCAAAGGAAUUGACGGGGCCCCGCACAAGCGGUGGAGUAUGUGGUUUAAUUCGAAGCAACGCGAAGAACCUUACCAGGUUUUGACAUCGGAUGCGAAGGCGCAGAGAUGCGCUGGAGGCUAUCAUCCAGACAGGUGGUGCAUGGUUGUCGUCAGCUCGUGUCGUGAGAUGUUCAGUUAAGUCUGGCAACGAGCGCAACCCCCGUGGUAUGUUACUAACGCAUUUGGGCGAGGACUCAUAUCAGACUGCCGGUGACAAACCGGAGGAAGGCGGGGAUGACGUCAAAUCAUCAUGCCCCUUAUGACCUGGGCUACACACGUACUACAAUGGCGUCUACAGAGGGAAGCGACCCUGAGAAGGGAAGCGAAACCGGAAAAGGGCGUCCCAGUUCGGAUUGAAGUCUGCAACCCGACUUCAUGAAGAUGGAAUCGCUAGUAAUCGCGGAUCAGCAUGCCGCGGUGAAUACGUUCCCGGGCCUUGUACACACCGCCCGUCAAACCAUGGAAGCCGGUAACGCCCGAAGCCGGUGGCAUAACCUUUUAGGAGUGAGCCGUCGAAGGCGGGGCCGAUGACUGGGGUUAAGUCGUAACAAGGUAGCC